UGCAGUCGAGCGGACAGAUGGGAGCUUGCUCCCUGAUGUUAGCGGCGGACGGGUGAGUAACACGUGGGUAACCUGCCUGUAAGACUGGGAUAACUCCGGGAAACCGGGGCUAAUACCGGAUGCUUGUUUGAACCGCAUGGUUCAAACAUAAAAGGUGGCUUCGGCUACCACUUACAGAUGGACCCGCGGCGCAUUAGCUAGUUGGUGAGGUAACGGCUCACCAAGGCAACGAUGCGUAGCCGACCUGAGAGGGUGAUCGGCCACACUGGGACUGAGACACGGCCCAGACUCCUACGGGAGGCAGCAGUAGGGAAUCUUCCGCAAUGGACGAAAGUCUGACGGAGCAACGCCGCGUGAGUGAUGAAGGUUUUCGGAUCGUAAAGCUCUGUUGUUAGGGAAGAACAAGUACCGUUCGAAUAGGGCGGUACCUUGACGGUACCUAACCAGAAAGCCACGGCUAACUACGUGCCAGCAGCCGCGGUAAUACGUAGGUGGCAAGCGUUGUCCGGAAUUAUUGGGCGUAAAGGGCUCGCAGGCGGUUCCUUAAGUCUGAUGUGAAAGCCCCCGGCUCAACCGGGGAGGGUCAUUGGAAACUGGGGAACUUGAGUGCAGAAGAGGAGAGUGGAAUUCCACGUGUAGCGGUGAAAUGCGAAGAGAUGUGGAGGAACACCAGUGGCGAAGGCGACUC
rnacentral:rRNA from 1 species